AGCAGCUGUUUAUGAUGAGUGCUUGCUUGGAGCCUUGAAUGUUGUAAAACUAAAGCCACAGUAACCUGGAGAUUUUACAGAACUAAAAGGACGUGCACUGGAAGGGCGUAGAAGGGCUUUAAUUGGUGUAUGGGAACCCCUGAUCUUCCUAUCCUGGAAUUUUCUUCAAGCAACUUCAACACUGGUGGCUUGCUUGAUGCAUGGAACUUUGGGAAUUAUUAUAUUCUGAAGACAUAUGUUAAAUUCUGUUGGGAUGUUGCAUUGUUUUUGCAAUUUUUGUUACCUGUUUUAAACUAUAAUUGUGUUUGCAUUAUUCAUUUACAAAGUAGCCUCAUAGAACUCAAGAGGCUAGUACACAUAGUCUGGGGGUGAUCCUAGAUCCAGCUGUGGCACUGGAAGUGAAGAUGCCCUCGGUAGUUAGGAGUGCCUUCUACCAGCUUUGGCUGUAAGACAGCAGUGGCUAUUCCUGAAUCAGGAUAACUUGACCACAGUUGUCCAUGCAUUGGUAACUCCAAAGUUGGAUUGCUGAGGUAUGGAGGCUACAGCUUGGUUGGUCAGGAGUCUGCAGCUUGGUUGCCUGUAGGGGCAAACUACCACUAGCAUAUUAACACAUCGUUUGCAGGAUUUGCAUUGGCUGCCAAUCUGGUACUGGAUCAAGUUUAAAGUUUUGGUACUAACAUAUAAGGACCAGCUUACUUGAGAGAUUACCUUGUGGUCUGAAAGAGAAUUUUUCCUUGAAGUUCCAAAGAUAUCAGAAGUCCACUCCACAGCAACUCGGAGCAGGACUUUGAGUGUGGCUGCCGCUGUUCUGUGAAAUAGCAUUCCUGUCGAAAUACAAAAGGCGACUACAACUGAAGACAUUUUUGUUUCAUCAAGCUUUAGGUGUUCAUUUGUAUUAUUUUAAAACCUAUUUUCAGUUUUUUUAGAUACUAUUUUUUAAAAAAACUUUUAACAGGUUUUUUUUGGUGUAUAAAUCACCUUGGGACAGACAGACAGACAGACAGAUAGAUAGAUAGAUAGAUAGAUAGAUAGAUAGAUAGAUAGAUAGAUAGAUGAGUAUAUAUGUAUAUGAAGGAAUGAAUGUUAAUUUGGGACCAGAACCUCACUAGGAAUGCAAAUUGACUUAGAACAGAGUGGGGCCUUUUUCAGGCCAAGGUCUGCAUUUCCUCAUGGGCAACCUUUCGAGGGCUGCAUAGCAAUGGUAUGGCAAUUGCGAGAUGUAAAAGUGAGCAGACCAACUUACCUUUGUACAGGUUACAUUCCAGCCAGGCAAAAGUCAGAAGUUUCUGUGCUCUCUCUCUCUCUCUCUCUCUCUCUCUCUCUCUCUCUCUCACACACACACACACACACACACACACCCCUCCAUCUUUCCAGGCAAGCAUGAGGCGUUAUCAUAGUUCAAGGGUGCAUCCUAGCCAGGCAAAAGCAUUCAAGGAAGUGUGCCCUGCGGGAGGGGAUGUGUUCUGGGAGAGUCCUGCGGGCCAAAUAGAGAAAGCCGGAUUUGGCCCCUGAGCUGGAGGUUCUCUUCAUGCCUGAAUUAGAAGAUGAGGUGGUGUCAGAGUUUAAAUCAACACUUGUUUUUAUUUGGGUAGCUUCCCAGUGAAGUCUGUGGAAGCUUCCCAGAUGAUAAAGGAAAAUCUUUAGGCGUUGCCCAAUGUUUAUGAUAGUUUAUGUUGCUGAGAUUGAGGAAGGAAGGCAAGAGAUUCGAUACUUUCAAACAGCGUUCCCUUCAAUUACUCUUUUUAAGAAAUGCUGCUGUGAUCCUUACAUUGCUGAAACUAUUUAAAUGCCUAAAUAGGCCACAUUUUAAAGAUAGUUUCUGUCAAACUGGUUUAUCAAAGCAUUUUCAUCUUCAGCUCAGUGCCUUGGAUAUGAUAUCUUUGUUGUCUCUGUUGCCAUAACACAAAUAAAUGUGGAUAUAUGAAAGAAGAGAGAUUAUCCAAAUCCUUGUAUUGAUAGUGUUGCACUAUAUACUUUUGUGGUUGAGUUCUCCCUUUGCCAUAAUGGUUCUGGACUUUUAUUCCUAUUUAUGGAGACCCUGGUGAGAAAUGAACUUUGCAAUGAGGAAAAUGUGAUGGUAUUAAUAGAGCUGUCUGCAUACUGAUACAUUGCAUUUGGACUGGUCUCUUCUGGCAAGUGGCUUCUCUGCAAACAGUAGCAAUCAGGGGGAGGACUUGAGCUCCCAGACCACAUCCACCGUGCCUAAAUUAUUGGUGCAAGAAUGUGGAUGGUGUAAGAAGUACAGGAUGGCUCUAUGAAUAUAUUCAGAAAGCCGUUAAUAGUUAUUCCCCACUUUAUUAGCUGAAUUGAUUCAUAUCUGUCCAUAUAUUUAUCGAGAGAGCAUAUGUAUCUCCCUGCUCUUUGAGAACAAGCACAAAUCCCUUUUGAUGAUUCCACUAUUCAUCAGGUUGGUGGCUACUGUGGAGUCACCUUGUCUAACAAACAGCCCACAGAUUAUGGAAUCAACCACCUGGUGCCUGCCAAGGUGUGCUAGAUACAGGAUCUUAGCCCUUUCAAAGGGGCUGUAAAGACUUGUCUUUUUUGACAAUCCUUCUCUAGUUAAUGUGGUUUCUAUUUUAUUGAGUUUUAUUGGCUGCUGUAUAGUUUCUCCAAUAUCAUUUUAUCUGCUAGGUUAUUGAUGUUCUUGAAUUGUAGCUUGUGGUUUUGACUGAUGUAACCUCUCUUGGGAAUCACUGAAUUGAAAUGCAAGUUAUAAUUUUUCUAAAUAAAUAAAAUUGUUCUAGGGGGUGGAGGGGGUUCUGUAAUAUUCACA